AUGAGAGCGAUGAAGGAGGAGCUACGUCAGGCCGGAGAUAUCGCGGCUGGAAAGCCCUUUAUGCUGCGGAUGAAGUUCGGAGAUCCUAAAUACAGUUCGUUGGACCGGAUGUGGAGUUCGGCGGACGCAAAUCUGGAUUUAGCUGCGAGUGCCGCUGAUGCGGCCGAACAUUUCCGAGAUCAGAAAGAUAGCGAAGUGGAGAAGCUCUUCUGGUCACAGUUCAACAAUCUGGAGCGUCCGCUUUUGUUGACUGAUCGUUUGGCCGAAUGGGCCGAACUGAAUAGUUUGUCCGGACUCGCCAUGAAGGAUGUCGUUAAUCAUCUGUGGCCGGAAAGGCCAAAGCCGAACAGUUAUUUUAGCUUGGUGCAACCGUUCCUUGAUGCAGUGCCGCCUAUCAAUGUGAUGAAGAGGUCAGCAUGCAUAGAGGGUGCGCGGAUGACCCUUUCCCGUGUCAAGACAUACUGGGCGGAGAUGGAGGCCGCCGCUGUUGCAUCCCAAGAUUCGGACGGAGGCCGAAUACCUAUUGAGCAAUAUUUUCAGGAAGUUCUGCAAGGCGCUCGUUUGAUAGAGAUGCAGUGCUCGAAGGAUAUUAUGUUCGAAUAA
rnacentral:rRNA from 1 species